rnacentral:pre_miRNA from 1 species
UGACACAGGCAAUGGCACUGGAAGAAUUCACGGGUUUUGUAACUACCCCCGUGGUCUCUUAGUGGCAUCUCUGGUGUCGG